CAAAUGGAGAGUUUGAUCCUGGCUCAGGAUGAACGCUGGCGGCGUGCCUAAUACAUGCAAGUCGAACGAAGAGAGAAGCUUGCUUCUCUUUUAGUGGCGAACGGGUGAGUAAUACAUAAGCAACCUACCCAUUUGACCGGGAUAACAGUUGGAAACGACUGCUAAUACCGGAUAGGUGACCGGGGGACAUCCCCUGAUCAUUAAAGCUGGGACACAGCACGAAUGGAUGGGCUUAUGGCGCAUUAGUUAGUUGGCGGGGUAACGGCCCACCAAGACGAUGAUGCGUAGCCGACCUGAGAGGGUGACCGGCCAC
rnacentral:rRNA from 1 species